GGGUCGAUUUGGGGUGAAUUCGGGGUGAAUUUUGACUGGGUUGGAGAUGUAUUUUGGGUAGAUUUUUGGGCGGAUUUUGGGUGGAUUCGGGAUGUGUUUUGGCUGGAUUCAGGAUGGAUUUUGGGUGUAUUUGGGGUGUAUUUUGGGAUGCAUUUUGGGUGUAUUUCGGGUGUAUUUUUGGGGUGAGUUCAGGAUGCAUUUGGGCGGUAUUUCGGGUGUAUUUUAGGGUUGAAUUCAGGAUGUUUUUGGGGUGAAUUCAGGAUGCGUUUUGGGUGUAUUUUGGCUGUAUUUUGGGAUGUGUUUUGCCUGGAUUCACGAUGUAUUUUGGGUGCAUUUUGGCUGCGUUUAGGGUGUAUUUGGGUGUAUUUGGGUGCAUUUUGCCUGUAUUUCGGGUGUAUUUUGUGUGUAUUUUGUGUGUAUUUUGUGUGUAUUUUGGGUGUAUUUUGGGUGUAUUUUGGGUGUAUUUUGGGUGUAUUUGGCUGUGUUUUGCCUGUAUUUUGGCUGGAUUUUGUGUGGAUUUUGGGUGUAUUUCGGGUGUAUUUUGGCUGUGUUUAGGGUGUAUUUUGGGUGUAUUUGGGUGCAUUUUGGCUGUAUUUUGUGUGUAUUUUGGGUGCAUUUCGGCUCUAUUUGGCUGUAUUUUGGCUGAAUUUCGGCUGAAUUUCGGCUGUAUUUCGGCUGUAUUUUGUGUGUAUUUUGGCUGCAUUUUGGGUGUAUUUCGGGUGUAUUUUGUGUGUAUUUCGGCUGUAUUUUGGGUGUAUUUCGGCUGUAUUUUGGGUGUAUUUUUUGUGUAUUUUGGGUGCAUUUUGGAUGUAUUUUGCCUGCAUUUUGGCUGCAUUUUUGGGUGUAUUUUGGGUGCGUUUUGUGUGUAUUUCGGCAGUAUUUCGGGUGUAUUUUUAGUGUCUUUGGGCUGUAUUUGGCUGUAUUUCAGCUGUAUUUUGGCUGUAUUUGGCUGUAUUUUGUGUGUAUUUUGGGUGCAUUUUGCCUGUAUUUUGGCUGCAUUUUGGGUGCGUUUUGUGUGUAUUUCGGCAGCAUUUCGGGUGUAUUUUUUUGUGUCUUUGGGCUGUAUUUUGUGUGUAUUUGGGUGCAUUUCGGCUGUAGGGCUGUAUUUGGGGUGUAUUUCGGCUGUAUUUGGCUGCAUUUGGCUGUAUUUUGUGUGUAUUUUGUGUGUAUUUUGGCUGUAUUUCGGGUGCAUUUUGGCUGCAUUUCGGCUGUAUUUGGUGUGUAUUUGGUAUUUUUGGCUGCAUUUUGGCUGUAUUUCGGCUGUAUUUGGUGUGUAUUUGGCUGCAUUCCGGCUGUAUUUCGGCUGCAUUUGGCUGUAUUUUGUGUGUAUUUGGGUGCAUUUCGGGUGUAUUUUGUGUGUAUUUGGCUGUAUUUGGGGGGGGGGGGGGGGGGGGGGGGGGGGGGGGGGGGGGGGGGGGGGGGGGGGGGGGGGGGGGGGGGGGGGGGG
rnacentral:lncRNA from 12 species